CUCUUGGAGUCUUCCACAUCUGUAUCGAGUGGUAACAAUCCCAAAAGGACUCAUGCAGUGGCCUCGACUGACUGGACAUGCAUUUGUGGAAAGAAACCGUCAGCGACACCAGUGGAGCUUUGCUCGUUGACAGUCAACGAGGUUUUUGUACGGCCCCUUCACCGUUUUGCAUCACUGUGGUGGAGUUUCGGCGGAGGAACCAAACUCGUCCUCGGCUCGGGUGAGGUGCGUCGGCCCACCCUGACCGUCUUUCCUCCCUCCAAAGAGCAGCUGCAGACGGGCAAAGCCACAGCCGUGUGCGUGGCCAGCGGGGGCUUCCCCGCUUCCUGGAACCUGAGCUGGAAGGUGGGCGGCACCCCCGAAACCUCUGGGGUGUCGGACAGCCUCCCGGGAGAGGCGGGCGAGGACGGCCUCUACAGCUGGACCAGCACCUUGAGCCUCCCUGCAGACCAGUGGAGCAAGGCCCAAUCGGUGAGCUGCCAGGCCAGCCUAGGCGGACAGAACCCUGUCACACAAACCCUGCCGGACCCGGGACGCUGCUCAGAGUAGAGCCUGAGUCGGACUCCAACCCCAAGCCUACAUUGUUGCAAAGUUGAAGCAUUAUGAAAUAAAAUGUAUGAAUAUCA